GGGAAUCGACUGAUGUCAUGGCAACAAACAAUUUUGAUGAGUCCUGUAUGUGAUAUGAAGAGGAGCCGAUUCCCUCAGAUUCCUAGGAAGCGGUGACAAGAAUCUUCAGAACCAAAUAACAUGUUUAAUAUCAAGAUCGAUCUUUUUGUGAAGAGAACGAAGAUAAUAAUUUGCUCUUAUUCUUCACUUCCUUGUCACAAAAAUCAGAUAAGAUGACCAUGAACUGCAAGAAGCUCAGGAAGCAUUUUGAACAGUGACGACAAAGCUCAGAAAAGAACAUUGUAACAUGGCUAAUGCUUUGGUGUGCUGUAAUCUGAAUGCUCUAAAAGUAUGUGCCCCCUUUCAGAUGACUUCUGUCUUUUAUGCCCCACAUUAAAGGGGUACUCCAUUGCCAGACAUCAUAUCCCUUUGGCAUUCUAAACAUUAUGUUCAGAACUCUGGAUUCGGGGGACCAUGGUCCUGACAUCAUGCCACACCCCCUCCAUUCAUCUCUAUGGGAGAGGCGGAGACACAGCGUUCGCGUAUCUCCGCCUCUCCCAUAGAAAUGAAUGGAGGGGGCGUUUUUCGACAAGUUCUGUGCUGGGUACGAAACGUUAUUUACAGGAGCAAAGUUGGGGCCGAGACAGGGCCCCAUAUGGGAGAUCGGUACCCAGCUGUCAGACCCCCGCGAUCAGACACUUAUUCCCAAUUCUGCUGAAAGGGAAUACGUUUUUUCCUGCUGGGUAACUUCUUUAAAUAGUAAUAAGACAACCAAAUUAAAGGGGUACUCCGGUGGAAAACAUUUUAUUGUAAAUCAACUGGUGCUAGAAAGUUAAAUAGAUUUGUAAAUUACUUCUAUUUAAAAAUCUUAAACCUUCCAGUACUUUUCAGCUGCUGUAUAAUUCAGAGGAAGUUCUUUACUUUUUGAAUUUCUUUCCUGUCUGACCCCAGUGCUCUCUGCUGACACCUCUGUCUGUGUCAGGAACUGUCCAGAGUAGGGGCACAUCCCCAUAGCAAACCUCUCCUGGUCUGACAUAGACAAAGGUGGCAGCAGAGAGCACUGUGGUCAGACUAUCCAACAGCUCCCUCUCUUGGA